CAACCUUUCUAAACUUGCUACUGCAUCACAACCGUCUUCUUGACAAAUUGUUCUUAGUAAGUUAGUUGGGAUGCUGAAGGUUUUUUUUGUGGCUAUGGAAUUUGAUUUUUUGGUUUUUGGUUUGUUAUAUCUCUAGUUUAUGAUUUAUGAUACGUCAUAUGAUGAACGUAUUAAUAGUUUAUGUGAUUAUUAAAUAUGUUGCUACAAACUUACUUUUGGAUACGGCCUAGUGACUUUAGUCUUCUGUUCUAGAAGUGUCAUUUUGGAUAUACCAAGGGAUGGCCCAAGUAUCCUCGUUUAUCUAUCAAUAAGUAAAAUAUUGUGUUGGCAAAAUCA